AAAAAAAAAAAAAAAACGAAAAAAAAAACGAAAAAAAAAAGUUAAAAAUAAAUAAAUAAAUAAAAUUAAUUAAAUAAAUAAAUAAAAUAUAACAAAUUUUUUUUGGACUUGGGUCUCCCUCAUUUGAGCCCACUACCCACGAAAAUCAGUUUAUAAAUACUGAAGUUUCAGUAGAGGAAAACACACUUGGAGUUAUACUGGGAGAUUCACUGG
rnacentral:lncRNA from 1 species